UUAAAGCUUACAAAUUUAUGGGUGGUAUUAAUUAAGAAUUAAUUUAGGUUUAAUUUAUGAUUAAUUUCUUUCAUUCAGUUACUUGUGCUUGUGCUGUUGGCAUUCUAUUUGCUGGAAUCUGCAUUCUGGUUGGAUUCAUCUCACAUUGCAGCAUGCUUUUUAAUUAUUAUAACAAUGUCACUUUACUGAAUUAUUAUCUGGAAUCUACAUAUGUCUUGCACGGAUUUUAUUGGAAGCAGCCACAGAAUAACUUUAUACUCCUUUUUUGUCAUUAGAUUUUCUUUACUCCUCUAAUCACUUCUGAUACUGUGUUCUGAUAACCUUUUUUGGUUUUCAUCUUUGGCUACUUAGGUUAAUUAAAAUUGGAACUGGAAAUUAAUUAAUUAAAUUAAAAACACUAGUGCAAAUCAAUUCUAUUUUCAUCAUUGCAUAUCCAUUUUCUUUGCAUCUGUUGUGAAGUAUUGUGAAAUAUUAAGGUCUCAAUUUGAGCUACUAUAUUAUUUUUUGACAUUGUGGUUAUAUUUGAAUUAUGACCUUUCCUGUUGCUCAAGUUUCAGUCCUUUCUAGCUUAUCUCAUGCAUGUUUGUAUUUUUAAUUGGAUUUGUCCUCUUUAGCUUAUUUCACAUGAAUAUUUGUAAUUUUUAGCAUCUAUUGUAGGACCAUGGUAGAACUAAAUGUUUGAAUUCUAGACCUCUUUGAACAGGUAAACUUCUCUCUGGAGUCAGCAAAAUUGGCCCAAAUAUUCAGCUCAUGGAGUUUAUGAUGCUUUAGCUGGUAUUGGAGAGAUUGACCAGUAGAGUCCAGACAGAGAUUCUGAGCAGAUCUGCACUAGUGUGGGAGUCACCUCAGUAGGGUAUUUUUGGUAGGACCCAUGUGUAUUUAGAUUUUGUAUUUUUGAUUUCUGUACAUAAGUCAAAGAUGUAAUUCAUUUUGAUACUGUAAUAUAAAUUGUAAAUUAUUGUAUAUGAAUUCUAUUAAUAAAAGUAAAUGUGUUUUACAUGAA